GAUGAACGCUGGCGGCGUGCUUAACACAUGCAAGUCGAACGGAAAGGCUCCUGCUUGCAGGGGUACUCGAGUGGCGAACGGGUGAGUAACACGUGGGUGAUCUGCCCUGCACUUCGGGAUAAGCCUGGGAAACUGGGUCUAAUACCGGAUAGGACCACAUUUUGGAUGGUGUGGUGGAAAGUUUUUCGGUGUGGGAUGAGCUCGCGGCCUAUCAGCUUGUUGGUGGGGUAAUGGCCUACCAAGGCGUCGACGGGUAGCCGGCCUGAGAGGGUGUACGGCCACAUUGGGACUGAGAUACGGCCCAGACUCCUACGGGAGGCAGCAGUGGGGAAUAUUGCACAAUGGGCGCAAGCCUGAUGCAGCGACGCCGCGUGGGGGAUGACGGCCUUCGGGUUGUAAACUCCUUUCGCUAGGGACGAAGCGCAAGUGACGGUACCUGGAGAAGAAGCACUGGCUAACUACGUG
rnacentral:rRNA from 1 species